rnacentral:rRNA from 1 species
GACAGAGGUGCCGAGCGUUAGGCGGAAUCACUGGGCUUAAAGCGUGUGUAGGCGGAUGCCUAAGUACCCUUGUGAAAUCCCACGGCUUAACCGUGGAACUGCUUGGUAUACUGGGUGUCUUGAGCCACUUAGGGGCGACCGGAACAAACGGUGGAGCGGUGAAAUGCGUAGAUAUCGUUUGGAACGCCAAUGGUGAAAACAGGUCGCUGGGAGUGUGCUGACGCUGAGACACGAAAGCCAGGGGAGCGAACGGG